rnacentral:ncRNA from 1 species
CGGCGGGCAACCUCUCCCCACCGAGAGGCUAACUAUCUGGAAGGAUAGAU